rnacentral:rRNA from 1 species
UGGGGAAUUUUGCACAAUGGGGGAAACCCUGAUGCAGCGACGCCGCGUGAUUUAGAAGGCUUUCGAGUCGUAAAGUUCUUUUAUAUGGGAAGAUAAUGACGGUACCAUAAGAAAAAGCCCCGGCUAACUACGUGCCAGCAGCCGCGGUAAUACGUAGGGGGCUAGCGUUGUCCGGAAUCACUGGGCGUAAAGGGUUCGCAGGCGGAAAUGCAAGUCAGGUGUAAAAGGCAGUAGCUUAACUACUGUAAGCAUUUGAAACUGCAUAUCUUGAGAAGAGUAGAGGUAAGUGGAAUUUUUAGUGUAGCGGUGAAAUGCGUAGAUAUUAAAAAGAAUACCGGUGGCGAAGGCGACUUACUGGGCUCAUUCUGACGCUGAGGAACGAAAGCGUGGGUAGCAAACAGG